AACCUUCAAUAAACAAUUAUCAGGGCUAAACAACAAAGCGAAGAAUUCCUUUUCUUUCUCCAUUAAAACACUCAAGAGCUUGCAACUUAAGAUUCUAGUUUAUCAUAAAUAUGGCCAUGCAUAAGCACUUUCAGUUGUUUGUAUUGCUCUUGGUGAUUCUUGCGGUCGUUCAUUCCCCAAGCUGUAGGUUUGUAGAAGCCAGCAGGCCAGUGUUUGUGAAUCAUCCUGGGUAUUUGAAGGCAUUUGCGACCCUUGGAGUUGAGUGCAAGUGUUGCGAUGGUGAAGGAGGUGAAUGCUCAAGCACAUGGGAAGGUUCUUGCCUAAAGCCUAAAUGUCUUCCAUGGAAAUAUGUUCACUGAUCUUCUUCCUGUACUCUAUGCAUAUAUACAAAUAAGUUUGUCAACUGCAAUAUAUGUAGCUUUUUUUGUGUCUGUUUAGUUGAUCAAUUAAGAUGGCAAUAAAACUAUGUAUUAUGCGCUUUUAAUUUAUAAUUAAAUACUAAAAUAUAUUUAAUA